rnacentral:misc_RNA from 1 species
GGAGGGACGGCAGGUCGAAGCUCUCACCCAACUCUGCGAGAUGCUGUCCAUCGGGACGGAGGACUCACUUGGGUCGUUCUCUGUGGACUCGUUCGUGCCAGUACUUGUCGGGCUACUUAACCAUGAGAGUAACGCCGACAUCAUGCUACUUGCUGCCAGGGCGAUCACGCACCUCUGUGAUGUGCUGCCGUCUUCAUGUGCCGC